AUUGAACGCUGGCGGCAGGCCUAACACAUGCAAGUCGAACGAGUGGCGGACGGGUGAGUAAUGUCUGGGAAACUGCCUGAUGGAGGGGGAUAACUACUGGAAACGGUGGCUAAUACCGCAUACCAUCGGAUGUGCCCAGAUGGGAUUAGCUAGUUGGUGGGGUAACGGCUCACCAAGGCGACGAUCCCUAGCUGGUCUGGGAGGAUGAUCGGCCACACUGGGACUGAGAGACGGCCCAGACUCCUACGGGAGGCAGCAGUGGGGAAUAUUGCACAAUGGGCGCAAGCCUGAUGCAGCCAUGCCGCGUGUAUGAAGAAGGCCUUCGGGUUGUAAAGUACUUUCAGCGGGGAGGCGUUACCCGCAGAAGAAGCACCGGCUAACUCCGUGCCAGCCGCCGCGGUAAUAC
rnacentral:rRNA from 1 species